ensembl:lncRNA
GGUUCAGUGAUUUCUGUUUUUAAGGGAUCCAGAGGCCUCAAGAUGUUUUUACCCAUUCUUGGAAAGUGAUGCUACAAUGGGACACUCACCCUCACACAUUCCCUUACAAGAACUGUGAACUGUGGGUGCUACUCUUUCCUUCCUCUGCCCUUACUGCUACCACUCUUGUAGCACAGAUAUACAAGGAAGGGGGAAUACUGUUAGCACUGUGAGAAUAAUAUGCAGUUGAUAAGCAAAGAGGAAGAACCAAAAAACCUUCCAUAACUUACUGAGGCAUUUCUUAUAUCUAUUCUCAAAAGAGAUGUGCACUUAAAAGUAUAGAGUGAUGUUUGUAGAGAGGGUGUGGGUACAAGAGUCAAGGGAGGAGAAACAAGAAGAAGCAAUAAGAGGAGCAAUGCUUGAUAGAAACAGUAAUAAAAGGAAAAAUCAGAUCUAAGUCUGUGUUGUGUGGCAUAUAAUUCAAGAUUUAAUCUAAAUGUACCAAUUUCUCUCACAAAACAAUAGGUGAUAUUCCAACCUGUCACAUUCAAUGGAGGAAAAAUAUUAUCUGCCACCCACUGUUUCCCGCAUUGCUGGAGUUAAAAACCUUCUCUUUGCUUGCAGAGAGCUUUAAUUUGAGCCCUAUGUUUUCAGUCUCUCAGAUCAAGUUCCUCAUCUCUCUGAAUUCUCCUUAGAUUCAAGACUGGCGUGAGAAUAACAGCGGCAAUCACUUCUGUUAACAAUGGCAAAUACAAAAUAAGCAGGAAAGAGACACAUUCCUUGCCAGACCUAGUAAUUACAGACUUGGCUUGGUUCAUGCAAGUUCAACUCAAUCCAGAUUUUUCUGUAAAAGCUGAGAGUCCAAAUCCAGCAGAGAAAUGUUGCUGAACUGCACAAAAGAUGAAUUCAACCCAGACAGCACAUUCAUAUUGCCUGCAUACUCCUCACAUGCACAUCUCCUUUUGGGUUUGUCAUGCAGGAAGUCACACACAGAUUAGAAACCACCAACAGAAGAGCUUUAUGGGGAACAUCUGGACAUUUCUGCCAGUCCCAGGUACAUUGCAGAAAGAAGAAAACACGUUUAAUAAAACCUGUUGCAAAGAGAAGAAAUGAGGAGGAGGAAGGCAAUGAGAAGAAGGCAAUCUGUGACCAAGAAAUGACAGAAGCCUUCUGCUUAUAAUGCUAACUUUUGAAUAAAAGUAAGAGUAAUUGUGUUAAAAGUCAGUCACUUGUUCCUCAAGUAUCUACUAUAUUUUUUCAACUUCUGGUUUAAAAUAUUUACAGCCAUUUUAACGUAGAUUGACACCUAAAUCAGCCACUCAUGUUCAACUCAGUGGAGUCUGCACUCCAGAAGCCUUGGUCCAUACAGUUAACACAGGUUUCUUACAUGGUCUGUGGCAAAAGGUAGACCCGUGUCUGCAAGUGGUCAGGGACAUCUAAGCUAAAGGAUCAUUCCUCUCUACCGACCUUAUAAAGAAAAAAUGCUGAAAUUCAAUACCUGCUUUCUCUUGACAUCCAAGCUGAGUCUUCUGUAGAAAGACACUAGUGGAGACUCUUCGUACUGAGCAGUAACAGUAGUUUCCUGGUAGAGUAUCUGUCAAGGAAUAGAAGAUCCUCUUUGGCCAUGUUUCCCACAGCCUCAUUGCGUGACCUAGUUAGGCUACAUUACUUCAUCACUGCGCAAAGUAGAAAAGGACCAGAAUUACCCAUCCCAGCUUGUGCUCUACUACCUGCUAGGGCAGAGUCAAGAUCCCAUGUGUACUCAGCCAGAAGUCUUCACCUUCUGCCUAGCUGCCCAGUGUCAACAGGAGGGAAGAGCAUGAUGAUACCAUGAGCUUCUCACUUGGACUGAGAAAUCUUCUGUGGAGGUAGAGUUUAAGCAUCUGGACUUACCAAAGGCGGGUCUCUCCAGUCCUUGUCCAGAGAAAGUAAAAGAAGUGCGCUUUUAAGGUGCAGCCACUGCCCUGAAUUUCACAGAACUUUCAUCUGACCAAGAGAAAAUAAGUUGACUUCAGCUAAAAUUAGACUUGAGGUUGCCACCUCUGAACUUCAGGAAGAAUUUAAGAGAACUGGACCACUUGCAUCAUUAUGCCAAUAAAAUGAUACUUCUCUCUCUUUCAGCCUCUUUGUUGAGGUAUGUUGAUGAUUAGCCACCUAUGACCAGGGCAAUAUCUGCCAGGGAUUUUUACACGUUUAAGUUUCUUCACAGCCUAUAUUCUCAUUGUAGGCCAGGAGAAGCCACUGUGUUAAUGAUGGCCCUCAUAAGAAUGAAUUAUGGCCCGAGGCCAGAUUCAACAGUUUCCCAGAGACAGGAUGGCCGUUAACUGGGCAGUAGCCUGGGGUUUAUGUUUCACUACAAACCUUCUCUGUGCACAUCAGCAAGAUGUUUGAGCCAAAUCAAAGGAGUUGAGCUUCUCUGUUCUCACACUGCCAUUGGUAAAAUGACAGUCAUGACUCUUCUCCACUUCAGAGGGAUGUCGCAAGGAUAUUACAUGAAAAAAAUAUGAACAUGAGUAUUUAGAUGAACAUCAGAAAGUAUAAAACUCUCCCUGCUCCCAGGCUAGCAUACCCUUUCAUCUUUUUGGGGCCAAUGGUUUGAAGUAAAAGUUGCUGUUAACAUGUAUUUGCCUUAGCAAGGUGUUAAAGUCAUUUCUUUUUAAAUGGUGAUUCCUACACACAACCUGUUCCCAAGUUCCAGGUCCGGGUGCAAGUUCUAUUCCUGUGACUUGCAAAGCCACCGGGGACUCACAAGUGGCUCUGGCGUUGCAAAUCCACUCUUCCUGGAAAGAUUUCCUGUUCUUAUCAGGGAAGGAAACCUCAUUUAAAUUUGAAUAUUCACUUCCAAUGGUACAGAUUGUUAAAAGAUUGUUCUGCCAACAGAAUAACACAAAACUAGCAAUGUGACACUGUUAUACGAGUAAAAAUGAAGGAUGAACCAUCAAUCUGGAUUUUUAAAUGAUCUCUGUUAGAAUCUGUCACUGGUAAUAAAUGAUUGAUCCAUUUCCUAAAUAUAUAACUUUUAGCUUUUUCCUCCUCUGUUUUCAAUUUGCCUUUACUUCUCAGUCCAUCUUUUUCAGUACAAACAUGUUUUCCCCCAACACUUGUAGGACUUUUCUUUUGUGUAGGGUCUUAGUCAUCUCUGCCAGCGCUGUGCUUCCCUCCAAUGAUGAAGAAAGCAGCCCGCUCCAUGAUACUGUUGUAUGUAUGCAUUAAGUGAAAUCAGGCUGCUUUUAUAACCUAUUUCUAAAACACUCAGGGUAAUUUACUGUUGUUUUUGCAAAAUUGUGAAUAACAGAGAAUAACAAUAUUUUGAACAAAUGACGAUAUUCUUCGUCGACGGAGAAUAAACAGGCUUGUUAGGGUGUAAUUGUUGUGCAUGAGUUUCUGGUUAGUUGUUGCUAUUUCACAGGGAAAUAGGACGCACUUGAAAGCUUCCGCAUCACUCCAGCUCCAAUGCUGGUACAGAAGAUGAAUAUUUUCAAGGAGAGGUAGAAAUGUCGAUUCCACUAACAAAUUUACAGUGCAAUAUAGCGAAAGAAUAAAACACGGUUUAUGGGUUGCUUUCUCCAGCUUAUUUUUAUCUCACAGAAUAAUACUUUAAAAGCACCCUAAGAAAAUGUUUCUCUUCCUGCUGAACUAUCUUUAUUUUUAGAUUGGAUACUUACCCUAUACAACUAUUUAGUCUGAUCCAGCUGAUGCAAAAGGUUGCUCUUUCAGUGUACAGCCUGCAUUGUCCCUGCUUAAACUGAAGAUGUGGGUGCAUGCUUUAUGAACCAGCCAUCUAAACUUGAAAGUGUGCUGGAGGAGCAGAGCAAAGAAAUUAAAUCUUUUAAAGUCCUCAUCACAUUGGGUUAAUUUAGCAGGCCGUGCUUCUGUUCUGUUUGCAUGACCACAGAGUGCUUGAUUGACUUUGACAUUUGAGUGAAAUGGAUGGAUAUUAAUGAAAGGAUGCAGAUAAGGAGCUGGAGAGAUAGAUACCAGGAUCAGACUGUUAAUGCUUUUACAUUCAAACUUUAUACAUGUGUAUAUAUAAAAAAAUGCUUUUGCAAACACCAUAAUGUUCAUUACACUAUUCAGAAAAGGAGGUUUACUGUGACAAUCUGCUGAAAACUGCUUCUGUGAUGAUAACAGGAAAUCAGUCACUUAUUUUGCUGGAUUGUUCAGAAAACUGACAGACAGGCUCCGACUGAAUCUAAGCAGCCUGCACCUGGUCAGAAAACCGUGCAAUGUGACAACAGCCUCUGUGUUGCUAAUAAUUAUGCACCAAUUUAAUCAUCAACCUCAUGCUUAGCAAAAUGAAAGGAUAAAACUGGGUAAAUGAUGCAGCUAUAGGUAUUUAAAUCAUGCGGCAUUUUUUGGUAUGGUGAUGAGUGGCUCUUUUUUCUAAUUCUAGAUGAUGCUGACAGUAUUUAAAAUUGAGGUUAGAAAUUACAGCAAGAAUCUGACUUGUGAUAUGUGUCAUAAGAUGUGGCAUUUUGCUCUGAAUCGAAUAUAGAUUGUUGGUCGCUUUAAUCAAUAGCUCCGAAAGACCACAACGCAAAUAAGAUUAAAACUACUCAUUCCUUCGUAUGCAUAAUGGCCGCUUCUUUGAUUCCCAUUUAGCAUUUAAAUUAGUUCAGCCACAAAGCACAGAGUACAGAUGCAAGUUUGAUUAUAUCAUUAGCGAAGUUCUCCUGGAUCAAUUUAAAACUAUUACACUUCAGAAAGAAUUAAGACGGAGCUCUACGGGAAGAUAUUUCCAGGCACAGAUCUUGUCUAUUGUCAUGUAUGUGAGUGCUUUGGUUUUUUUUUUUCCUCCUACAAGGAAGACGCACUAUUAAUUCUUUCAAAAGUCUUUACCAUGCUAUUCCACCACAUAGAAUCCAUGUGGCCAUCUUUGUGACCAUCGUGCCUCAUACCUGACAGUCUUUUGGCUCUGGUUUUCACUCCGAUAAGAAGAAACUUCACUUGAGUACA